GGAGCUUGCUCCCUGAUGUUAGCGGCGGACGGGUGAGUAACACGUGGGUAACCUGCCUGUAAGACUGGGAUAACUCCGGGAAACCGGGGCUAAUACCGGAUGCUUGUUUGAACCGCAUGGUUCAAACAUAAAAGGUGGCUUCGGCUACCACUUACAGAUGGACCCGCGGCGCAUUAGCUAGUUGGUGAGGUAAUGGCUCACCAAGGCAACGAUGCGUAGCCGACCUGAGAGGGUGAUCGGCCACACUGGGACUGAGACACGGCCCAGACUCCUACGGGAGGCAGCAGUAGGGAAUCUUCCGCAAUGGACGAAAGUCUGACGGAGCAACGCCGCGUGAGUGAUGAAGGUUUUCGGAUCGUAAAGCUCUGUUGUUAGGGAAGAACAAGUGCCGUUCAAAUAGGGCGGCACCUUGACGGUACCUAACCAGAAAGCCACGGCUAACUACGUGCCAGCAGCCGCGGUAAUACGUAGGUGGCAAGCGUUGUCCGGAAUUAUUGGGCGUAAAGGGCUCGCAGGCGGUUUCUUAAGUCUGAUGUGAAAGCCCCCGGCUCAACCGGGGAGGGUCAUUGGAAACUGGGGAACUUGAGUGCAGAAGAGGAGAGUGGAAU
rnacentral:rRNA from 1 species